UAUAUACAGGGGGUACUGGUACAGAGUCAGUGUGGAGGUUAUAUACAGGGGGUACCAGUACAGAGUCAGUGUGGAGGUUAUAUACAGGGGGUACUGGUACAGAGUCAGUGUGGAGGUUAUAUACAGGGGGUACCAGUACAGAGUCAGUGUGGAGGUUAUAUACAGGGGGUACCGGUACAGAGUCAGUGUGGAGGCUAUAUACAGGGGGUACUGGUACAGAGUCAAUGUGGAGGCUAUAUACAGGGGGUACUGGUACAGAGUCAAUGCGGAGGCUAUAUACAGGGGUACUGGUACAGAGUCAAUGUGGAGGCUAUAUACAGGGGGUACUGGUACAGAGUCAAUGUGGAGGCUAUAUACAGGGGGUACCGGUACAGAGUCAAUGUGGAGGCUAUAUACAGGGGGCACCGGUACAGAGUCAAUGUGGAGGUUAUAUACAGGGGGUACUGGUACAGAGUCAAUGUGGAGGCUAUAUACAGGGGGUACCGGUACAGAGUCAAUGUGGAGACUAUAUACAGGGGCUACCGGUACAGAGUCAAUGUGGAGGCUAUAUACAGGGGGUGCUGGUACAGAGUCAAUGUGGAGGCUAUAUACAGGGGGUACCAGUACAGAGUCAAUGUGGAGGCUAUAUACAGGGGGUACUGGUACAGAGUCAAUGUGGA
ensembl:lncRNA